UACGUAGGGACCGAGCGUUGUCCGGAUUCAUUGGGCGUAAAGAGCUCGUAGGCGGCUGCUCAAGUCGAAUGUGAAAACUCGAGGCUCAACCUCGAGCCUGCAUUCGAUACUGGGCGGCUAGAGUCUGGUAGGGGGAUCUGGAAUUCCUGGUGUAGCGGUGGAAUGCGCAGAUAUCAGGAGGAACACCGGUGGCGAAGGCGGGAUCCUGGGCCAGUACUGACGCUGAGGAGCGAAAGCGUGGGAGCGAACAGG
rnacentral:rRNA from 1 species